rnacentral:rRNA from 1 species
UCAAGUGAAGAAGCGCAUACGGUGGAUGCCUUGGCAGUCAGAGGCGAUGAAAGACGUGGUAGCCUGCGAAAAGCUUCGGGGAGUCGGCAAACAGACUUUGAUCCGGAGAUCUCUGAAUGGGGGAACCCACCUAGGAUAACCUAGGUAUCUUGUACUGAAUCCAUAGGUGCAAGAGGCGAACCAGGGGAACUGAAACAUCUAAGUACCCUGAGGAAAAGAAAUCAACCGAGAUUCCCUUAGUAGUGGCGAGCGAACGGGGAUUAGCCCUUAAGCUUCAUUGAUUUUAGCGGAACGCUCUGGAAAGUGCGGCCAUAGUGGGUGAUAGCCCCGUACGCGAAAGGAUCUUUGAAGUGAAAUCGAGUAGGACGGAGCACGAGAAACUUUGUCUGAACAUGGGGGGACCAUCCUCCAAGGCUAAAUACUACUGACUGACCGAUAGUGAACCAGUACCGUGAGGGAAAGGCGAAAAGAACCCCGGAGAGGGGAGUGAAAUAGAACCUGAAACCGUAUGCGUACAAGCAGUGGGAGCCUACUUGUUAGGUGACUGCGUACCUUUUGUAUAAUGGGUCAGCGACUUAUAUUCAGUGGCAAGCUUAACCGUAUAGGGUAGGCGUAGCGAAAGCGAGUCUUAAUAGGGCGUUUAGUCGCUGGGUAUAGACCCGAAACCGGGCGAUCUAUCCAUGAGCAGGUUGAAGGUUAGGUAACACUGACUGGAGGACCGAACCCACUCCCGUUGAAAAGGUAGGGGAUGACUUGUGGAUCGGAGUGAAAGGCUAAUCAAGCUCGGAGAUAGCUGGUUCUCCUCGAAAGCUAUUUAGGUAGCGCCUCAUGUAUCACUCUGGGGGGUAGAGCACUGUUUCGGCUAGGGGGUCAUCCCGACUUACCAAACCGAUGCAAACUCCGAAUACCCAGAAGUGCCGAGCAUGGGAGACACACGGCGGGUGCUAACGUCCGUCGUGAAAAGGGAAACAACCCAGACCGCCAGCUAAGGUCCCAAAGUUGUGGUUAAGUGGUAAACGAUGUGGGAAGGCUUAGACAGCUAGGAGGUUGGCUUAGAAGCAGCCACCCUUUAAAGAAAGCGUAAUAGCUCACUAGUCGAGUCGGCCUGCGCGGAAGAUGUAACGGGGCUCAAACCACACACCGAAGCUGCGGGUGUCACGUAAGUGACGCGGUAGAGGAGCGUUCUGUAAGCCUGUGAAGGUGAGUUGAGAAGCUUGCUGGAGGUAUCAGAAGUGCGAAUGCUGACAUGAGUAACGACAAUGGGUGUGAAAAACACCCACGCCGAAAGACCAAGGGUUCCUGCGCAACGUUAAUCGACGCAGGGUUAGUCGGUUCCUAAGGCGAGGCUGAAAAGCGUAGUCGAUGGGAAACAGGUUAAUAUUCCUGUACUUCUGGUUACUGCGAUGGAGGGACGGAGAAGGCUAGGCCAGCUUGGCGUUGGUUGUCCAAGUUUAAGGUGGUAGGCUGAAAUCUUAGGUAAAUCCGGGGUUUCAAGGCCGAGAGCUGAUGACGAGUCGUCUUUUAGAUGACGAAGUGGUUGAUGCCAUGCUUCCAAGAAAAGCUUCUAAGCUUCAGGUAACCAGGAACCGUACCCCAAACCGACACAGGUGGUCGGGUAGAGAAUACCAAGGCGCUUGAGAGAACUCGGGUGAAGGAACUAGGCAAAAUGGCACCGUAACUUCGGGAGAAGGUGCGCCGGCUAGGGUGAAGGAUUUACUCCGUAAGCUCUGGCUGGUCGAAGAUACCAGGCCGCUGCGACUGUUUAUUAAAAACACAGCACUCUGCAAACACGAAAGUGGACGUAUAGGGUGUGACGCCUGCCCGGUGCCGGAAGGUUAAUUGAUGGGGUUAGCGCAAGCGAAGCUCUUGAUCGAAGCCCCGGUAAACGGCGGCCGUAACUAUAACGGUCCUAAGGUAGCGAAAUUCCUUGUCGGGUAAGUUCCGACCUGCACGAAUGGCGUAACGAUGGCGGCGCUGUCUCCACCCGAGACUCAGUGAAAUUGAAAUCGCUGUGAAGAUGCAGUGUAUCCGCGGCUAGACGGAAAGACCCCGUGAACCUUUACUGUAGCUUUGCACUGGACUUUGAGCCUGCUUGUGUAGGAUAGGUGGGAGGCUUUGAAGCGUGGACGCCAGUUCGCGUGGAGCCAUCCUUGAAAUACCACCCUGGCAUGCUUGAGGUUCUAACUCUGGUCCGUAAUCCGGAUCGAGGACAGUGUAUGGUGGGCAGUUUGACUGGGGCGGUCUCCUCCUAAAGAGUAACGGAGGAGUACGAAGGUGCGCUCAGACCGGUCGGAAAUCGGUCGUAGAGUAUAAAGGCAAAAGCGCGCUUGACUGCGAGACAGACACGUCGAGCAGGUACGAAAGUAGGUCUUAGUGAUCCGGUGGUUCUGUAUGGAAGGGCCAUCGCUCAACGGAUAAAAGGUACUCCGGGGAUAACAGGCUGAUACCGCCCAAGAGUUCAUAUCGACGGCGGUGUUUG